AUUGAACGCUGGCGGCGUGCCUUACACAUGCAAGUCGAACGGUAACAGGUCUUCGGAUGCUGACGAGUGGCGAACAGGUGAGUAAUACAUCGGAACGUGCCCGAGAGUGGGGGAUAACGAAGCGAAAGCUUUGCUAAUACCGCAUACGAUCUCAGGAUGAAAGCAGGGGACCGCAAGGCCUUGCGCUCACGGAGCGGCCGGUGGCAGAUUAGGUAGUUGGUGGGAUAAAAGCUUACCAAGCCGACGAUCUGUAGCUGGUCUGAGAGGACGACCAGCCACACUGGGACUGAGACACGGCCCAGGCUCCUACGGGAGGCAGCAGUGGGGAAUUUUGGACAAUGGGCGCAAGCCUGAUCCAGCCAUGCCGCGUGCAGGAUGAAGGCCUUCGGGUUGUAAACUGCUUUUGUACGGAACGAAAAGACUCCUUCUAAUAAAGGGGGUCCAUGACGGUACCGUAAGAAUAAGCACCGGCUAACUACGUGCCAGCAGCCGCAGUAACAC
rnacentral:rRNA from 1 species